rnacentral:lncRNA from 1 species
AGCAUGGCCAUGAGGGCCCCUGCUCAGAUCCUGGGGCUCCUGCUGCUCUGCCUCCCAGUUAAGGAGGGACAUUACUGGUGAUUUACUAAUCACAGUGUGGUCAGUGUUUCCUGGCUACUCAGGAAAGUCCUCUUGCAACAUCAUUACUUACAAGGAUAUCUCUUUUUAUGUUUCCAAUAUCAAGUGUCAAAUGUGACAUCACGAUGACCCAGUCUCCAUCCUCCUUGCCUGUGUCUCAUGGACACAGAGUCAGAAUCCCCCGUAGGGCCAUUGAGGACACUAGAAGUUAUUUAAACUGGUAUCAGCAGAAACCAUGUCAAGCUCCUAAGCUCCUCAUCUUUCAUCUAUCGUGCAAACAGUUUGGAAUCUGGGGUCCCCUCAAGGUUCAGUGGCAGUGGAUAUGGGACAGAUUUCACUCUCACCAUCAGCAGCCUGGAGCCUGAAGAUAUUUCCACUUAUUUCUGUCAACAAUGUUUGCAUUCCUCUCUCACAGUGAUACAAGCCAUGACAAAAAC